rnacentral:rRNA from 1 species
UACGUAGGGUGCAAGCGUUGUCCGGAAUUAUUGGGCGUAAAGAGCUCGUAGGCGGUCUGUCGCGUCGGCUGUGAAAUCCCGAGGCUCAACCUCGGGUCUGCAGUCGAUACGGGCAAACUGGAGUGUUGCAGGGGAGACUGGAAUUCCUGGUGUAGCGGUGAAAUGCGCAGAUAUCAGGAGAAACACCGGUGGCGAAGGCGGGUCUCUGGGCAACAACUGACGCUGAGGAGCGAAAGCGUGGGGAGCGAACAGG